GACAUGACAUCAACAACUUUGGAGCCAAUUAUUGUCAGCGCAGCACGGCGGAGUGCAACUCGCAAACCUGAGAACAGACUCGAGGCUUUGUUGUUACAGCUUGUUACAUUGCUGGCCAGACAAGAAAUGUAACCUAAAACUAGCCGCAGUAUUUGAAACAAUAUCGCUCACACACACACUCACACACACACACACACUGUAUUGUACUGCCUGAAUUGUUGGCAGUUCGGAUCCGCAGUUGUUAUUUGACAUAAAUUAAAAAGAUGUAAGACAGCC